AGCUCAAAUUUGAAAUCUGGCUUAGGCCCGAGUUGUAAUUUGCAGAGGAUGUUUCUGGCGCGGUGCCAUCCGAGUUCCCUGGAACGGGACGCCAUAGAGGGUGAGAGCCCCGUAUGGAUGGCCACCAAGCCUGUGUGAAACUCCUUCAACGAGUCGAGUAGUUUGGGAAUGCUGCUCAAAAUGGGAGGUAAAUCUCUUCUAAAGCUAAAUACUGGCCAGAGACCGAUAGCGCACAAGUAGAGUGAUCGAAAGAUGAAAAGCACCUUGAAAAGGGGGUUAAACAGUACGUGAAAUUGUUGAAAGGGAAGCGCUCAUGACCAGACUUGUGCCGGGCAGCUCAUCCGGGGUUCUCCCCGGUGCACUCUGCCCGGUUCAGGCCAGCAUCGGUUUUUGCUGGGGGAUAAGAACGGUAGGAAUGUGGCCCUCUUUCGGGAGGGUGUUAUAGCCUACCGUACGAUACCCUAGCGGAGACCGAGGUUCGCGCUCCGCAAGGAUGCUGGCGUAAUGGUCAUCAGCGACCCGUCUUGAAACACGGACCAAGGAGUCGUCCAUUAGAGCGAGCGUUUGGGUGUCAAACCCGCACGCGUAAUGAAAGUGAAAUUAGGUGAGAGCUUCGGCGCAUCAUCGACCGAUCCUGAUGUUCUCGGAUGGAUUUGAGUAAGAGUUUUAACGGACGGACCCGAAAGACAGUGAACUAUGCUUGUAUAGGGUGAAGCCAGAGGAAACUCUGGUGGAGGCUCGCAGCGGUUCUGACGUGCAAAUCGAUCGUCAAAUAUGAGCAUGGGGGCGAAA
rnacentral:rRNA from 1 species